CACGUAAGGUGCAAGCGUUGUUCGUAAUCAUUGGGCGUAAAGGGCAUGUAGGCGGAAGUGCAAGUCUGGUGUGAAAUUCCGGGGCUCAACUCCGGAGUUGCGCCGGAAACUGCAUAACUAGAGUCACUGAGGGGGAACCGGAAUUCCGGGUGUAGGGGUGAAAUCUGUAGAUAUCUGGAAGAACACCAAUAGCGAAGGCAGGUUUCCAGCAGAUGAUUGACGCUGAGGUGCGAAGGUGCGGGGAGCAAAC
rnacentral:rRNA from 1 species